UGAUCCGGUGGUUCCGCAUGGAAGGGCCAUCGCUCAACGGAUAAAAGCUACCCCGGGGAUAACAGGCUUAUCUCCCCCAAGAGUUCACAUCGACGGGGAGGUUUGGCACCUCGAUGUCGGCUCAUCGCAUCCUGGGGCUGUAGUCGGUCCCAAGGGUUGGGCUGUUCGCCCAUUAAAGCGGUACGCGAGCUGGGUUCAGAACGUCGUGAGACAGUUCGGUCCCUAUCCGUCGUGGGCGUAGGAAAUUUGAGAGGAGCUGUCCUUAGUACGAGAGGACCGGGAUGGACAUACCUCUGGUGUACCAGUUGUCGUGCCAACGGCAUAGCUGGGUAGCUAUGUGUGGACGGGAUAAGUGCUGAAAGCAUCUAAGCAUGAAGCCCCCCUCAAGAUGAGAUUUCCCAACUUCGGUUAUAAGAUCCCUCAAAGAUGAUGAGGUUAAUAGGUUCGAGGUGGAAGCAUGGUGACAUGUGGAGCUGACGAAUACUAAUCGAUCGAAGACUUAAUCAA
rnacentral:rRNA from 1 species